GACGAACGCUGGCGGCGUGCUUAACACAUGCAAGUCGAACGGGAUCCAAAGGCUUUUUGUUUUUGGUGAGAGUGGCGAACGGGUGAGUAACACGUGAGUAACCUGCCCCCUUCUUUUGGAUAACCGCAUGAAAGUGUGGCUAAUACAGGAUAUUCCAGGCUGGUCGCAUGAUUGGUUUGGGAAAUGGUUUGGUCUGGUGGGGGAUGGGCUCGCGGCCUAUCAGCUUGUUGGUGGGGUGAUGGCCUACCAAGGCGGUGACGGGUAGCCGGCCUGGGAGGGUGGGCGGUCACACUGGGACUGAGAUACGGCCCAGACUCCUACGGGAGGCAGCAGUGGGGGAUUUUGCACAAUGGGCGCAAGCCUGACGCAGCGACGCCGCGUGAGGGAUGAAGGCCUGCGGGUUGUAAACCUCUUUCGCUGGGUUGAAAGGCCAUGCUUUGGGUGUGGUUGAGUUGAACUGGUAAAGAAGUACCGGCUAACUACGUG
rnacentral:rRNA from 1 species